GAUGAACGCUGGCGGCGUGCCUAAUACAUGCAAGUCGAGCGAACAGACGAGGAGCUUGCUCCUCUGACGUUAGCGGCGGACGGGUGAGUAACACGUGGAUAACCUACCUAUAAGACUGGGAUAACUUCGGGAAACCGGAGCUAAUACCGGAUAAUAUAUUGAACCGCAUGGUUCAAUAGUGAAAGACGGUUUUGCUGUCACUUAUAGAUGGAUCCGCGCCGCAUUAGCUAGUUGGUAAGGUAACGGCUUACCAAGGCAACGAUGCGUAGCCGACCUGAGAGGGUGAUCGGCCACACUGGAACUGAGACACGGUCCAGACUCCUACGGGAGGCAGCAGUAGGGAAUCUUCCGUAAUGGGCGAAAGCCUGACGGAGCAACGCCGCGUGAGUGAUGAAGGUCUUCGGAUCGUAAAAAUCUGUUAUUAGGGAAGAACAAAUGUGUACGUAACUAUGCACGUCUUGACGGUACCUAAUCAGAAAGCCACGGCUAACUACGUG
rnacentral:rRNA from 1 species